GAAUAGCCCCGAUGGAAGCGGCAUCCUUUUUUGGUUUUACCCUGUCAGGGUUUAAAACCCUGACAGGGUAAAACCAAAAAAGAUAAAGCGUACAGCGGGAGAAAUG
rnacentral:snRNA from 1 species